GACGAACGCUGGCGGCGUGCUUAACACAUGCAAGUCGAACGGAAAGGCCCUGCUUUUGUGGUGUGCUCGAGUGGCGAACGGGUGAGUAACACGUGAGUAACCUGCCCUUGACUUUGGGAUAACUUCAGGAAACUGGGGCUAAUACCGGAUAGGAGCUCCUGCUGCAUGGUGGGGGUUGGAACGUUUCGGCGGUUGGGGAUGGACUCGCGGCUUAUCAGCUUGUUGGUGGGGUAGUGGCUUACCAAGGCUUUGACGGGUAGCCGGCCUGAGAGGGUGACCGGCCACAUUGGGACUGAGAUACGGCCCAGACUGCUACGGGAGGCAGCAGUGGGGAAUAUUGCACAAUGGGCGGAAGCCUGAUGCAGCAACGCCGCGUGCGGGAUGACGGCCUUCGGGGUGUAAACCGCUUUCGCCUGUGACGAAGCGGGAGUGACGGUAAUGGGUAAAGAAGCACCGGCUAACUACGUG
rnacentral:rRNA from 1 species